rnacentral:rRNA from 1 species
CUUUAUCAGAGAGUUUGAUCCUGGCUCAGGAUGAACGCUGGCG